rnacentral:rRNA from 1 species
AUUGAACGCUGGCGGCAGGCCUAACACAUGCAAGUCGAGCGGCAGCGGGAAAGUAGCUUGCUACUUUUGCCGGCGAGCGGCGGACGGGUGAGUAAUGCCUGGGGAUCUGCCCAGUCGAGGGGGAUAACUACUGGAAACGGUAGCUAAUACCGCGUACGCCCUACGGGGGAAAGCAGGGGACCUUCGGGCCUUGCGCGCUUGGCUGAACCUGGGUGGGAUUAUCUAGUUGGUGAGGUAAUGGCUCACCAAGGCGACGAUCCCUAGCUGGUCUGAGAGGAUGAUCAGCCACACUGGAACUGAGACACGGUCCAGACUCCUACGGGAGGCAGCAGUGGGGAAUAUUGCACAAUGGGGGAAACCCUGAUGCAGCCAUGCCGCGUGUGUGAAGAAGGCCUUCGGGUUGUAAAGCACUUUCAGCGAGGAGGAAAGGUUGGUAGCUAAUAACUGCCAGCUGUGACGUUACUCGCAGAAGAAGCACCGGCUAACUCCGUGCCAGCCGCCGCGGUAA